rnacentral:rRNA from 1 species
AAGCUCGUAGUUGAAUUUCGGGCUUGGCGGGAUGGUCCGCCUUACGGUGUGUACUAUUCUGCUGAGCCUUACCUCUUGGUGAGACCUCAUGCUCUUUAUUGGGUGUGGGGUGGAACCAGGAAUUUUACCUUGAGAAAAUUAGAGUGUUCAAAGCAGGCAAACGCCCGAAUACAUUAGCAUGGAAUAAUAGAAUAGGACGUGCGGUUCUAUUUUGUUGGUUUCUAGGACCACCGUAAUGAUUAAUAGGGAUAGUUGGG